UUAUCCGGAAUUACUGGGUAUAAAGGGAGUGUAGGCGGGACUGCAAGUCAGAUGUGAAAAUUAUGGGCUUAACUCAUAACCUGCAUUUGAAACUGUAGUUCUUGAGUGAAGUAGAGGUAAGCGGAAUUCCUAGUGUAGCGGUGAAAUGCGUAGAUAUUAGGAGGAACAUCAGUGGCGAAGGCGGCUUACUGGGCUUUUACUGACGCUGAGGCUCGAAAGCGUGGGGAGCAAACAGGAUUAGAUACCCUGGUAGUCCACGCUGUAAACGAUGAUUACUAGGUGUGGGGGGACUGACCCCUUCCGUGCCGCAGUUAACACAAUAAGUAAUCCACCUGGGGAGUACGGUCGCAAGACUGAAACUCAAAGGAAUUGACGGGGGCCCGCACAAGCAGUGGAGUAUGCGGUUUAA
rnacentral:rRNA from 1 species